rnacentral:rRNA from 1 species
AUACGGAGGAUGCGAGCGUUAUCCGGAUUUAUUGGGUUUAAAGGGAGCGUGGGCGGGAGCUUAAGUCAGCGGUUAAAUGGUGCGGCUCAACCGUGCCCUGCCGUUGAAACUGGGUUUCUUGAGAGUGCAAGAGGCGGAUGGAAUUCAUGGUGUAGCGGUGAAAUGCUUAGAUAUCAUGAAGAACUCCGAUUGCGAAGGCAGUCCGCUGGGGCACGUCUGACGCUGAUGCUCGAAGGUGCGGGAAUCAAACAGGAUUAGAUACCCUGGUAGUCCGCACGGUAAACGAUGAUUACCCGCUGUCGGCGGUAGACAGUCGGCGGCCAAGCGAAAGCGAUAAGUAAUCCACCUGGGGAGUACGCCGGCAACGGUGAAACUCAAAGGAAUUGACGGGG